rnacentral:rRNA from 1 species
AGUGAACGCUGGCGGUAGGCCUGACACAUGCAAGUCGAACGGCAGCACAGUAAGAGCUUGCUCUUACGGGUGGCGAGUGGCGGACGGGUGAGGAAUACAUCGGAAUCUACUUUUUCGUGGGGGAUAACGUAGGGAAACUUACGCUAAUACCGCAUACGACCUACGGGUGAAAGCAGGGGAUCUUCGGACCUUGCGCGAUUGAAUGAGCCGAUGUCGGAUUAGCUAGUUGGCGGGGUAAAGGCCCACCAAGGCGACGAUCCGUAGCUGGUCUGAGAGGAUGAUCGGCCACACUGGAACUGAGCCACGGUCCCGACUCCUACGGGAGGCAGCAGUGGGGAAUAUUGGACAAUGGGCGCAAGCCUGAUCCAGCCAUACCGCGUGGGUGAAGAAGGCCUUCGGGUUGUAAAGCCCUUUUGUUGGGAAAGAAAAGCAGCAGGUUAAUACCCCGCUGUUCUGACGGUACCCAAAGAAUAAGCACCGGCUAACUUCGUG